CCUACGGGUGGCAGCAGUCGAGAAUCAUUCACAAUGGGGGAAACCCUGAUGGUGCGACGCCGCGUGGGGGAAUGAAGGUCUUCGGAUUGUAAACCCCUGUCAUGUGGGAGCAAAUUAAAAAGAUCGUACCACAAGAGGAAGAGACGGCUAACUCUGUUCCAGCAGCCGCGGUAAUACAGAGGUCUCAAGCGUUGUUCGGAAUCACUGGGCGUAAGGCGUGCGUAGGCUGUUUCGUAAGUCGUGUGUGAAAGGCGCGGGCUCAACCCGCGGACGGCACAUGAUACUGCGAGACUAGAGUAAUGGAGGGGGAACCGGAAUUCUCGGUGUAGCAGUGAAAUGCGUAGAUAUCGAGAGGAACACUCGUGGCGAAGGCGGGUUCCUGGACAGUAACUGACGCUGAGGCACGAAGGCCAGGGGAGCGAAAGGGAUUAGAUACCCUUGUAGUC
rnacentral:rRNA from 1 species